GGCCAGGCUCUUUUCAGAGCCAACAAUUAAAUAAAAAUAAAUCUCAU
rfam:Beta vulgaris subsp. vulgaris contig128632.1, whole genome shotgun sequence.